AUGGGCGCAGCCUGAUGCAGCAAUGCCGCGUGAGUGAUGAAGGCCUUCGGGUUGUAAACCUCUUUUACCGGGGAAGAAAAUGACGGUACCCGUAGAAAAAGCCCCGGCUAACUCCGUGCCACCACCCGCGGUAAUA
rnacentral:rRNA from 1 species